rnacentral:rRNA from 1 species
CCCUUAAGUUUGAUCCUGGCUCAGAAUGAACGUUGGCGGCGUGGAUUAGGCAUGCAAGUCGAACGGGCCGCAAGGCCAGUGGCGCAAGGGUGAGUUAGGCGAUGGCAACCAACCCCGCGAAUGGGGAUAGCCACGGGAAACUGUGGGUAAUACCCAGCGAUGUUUGAUGAGGGCAUCUUCAUCAAACCAAAGGUGCGAGUCCGUCGCGGGACGGGCCAUCGUGAUAUUAGAUAGUUGGCGGGGUAACGGCCCACCAAGUCAGCGAUGUCUACCGGGCGUGCGAGCGUGGCCCGGCACACUGGGACUGAGACACUGCCCAGACUCCUACGGGAGGCUGCAGUCGAGAAUCUUCGGCAAUGGGCGCAAGCCUGACCGAGCGACGCCGCGUGGAGGAUGAAGGCCCUCGGGUUGUAAACUCCUGUCGAGGGGGAUGAAGGGCCUGCGAAGAGCAGGUCUUGACCGAACCCUGGAGGAAGCACGGGCUAAGUUCGUGCCAGCAGCCGCGGUAAGACGAACCGUGCGAACGUUAUUCGGAAUCACUGGGCUUAAAGCGCGUGUAGGCGGGCAGGCACGUCGUACGCUGAAAGCCUCCGGCUCAACCGGAGA